UUCUGAAUCGAGCAGAUAAGCUCAUUCAUUCUCUUACUUUCUCUUCUUCUUCUUUCUUCUUCUCAUCUCUGUUUUCUCAUGUUCUUCGGUCAUGAGAUGGUUGAGUAACCAAAUUAGUGAUUUUGAGAUCGAUAUAAGAAGAGAUUAACCAAGAAUCAAGUGAUGGGGGUGGUGUUGCUGUCGAUUUGUUACGAGAAGAAGAAGAGAAUGGUAUCUAGAGAGAAUCAGGAAGUUAGGGUUUGAGUUCGGGUUUUUCUGUAGAAGAAUUGAGAAAUUAAAGAUGGAUUUGAGUGGUUUAGGGAUGAAGAAUGACUGGGUCGCUGUUUAAUGGAAGUUCUAAAGCUGAUUCAGAGAAUAAUUGAAUAAUUUAGGGUUUCUUGAAGAUGAAAGUUGUUGAAGAAUUAUGUGGAUCUAAGAUGUAGAUCGAGUUGCUGAUGGAUUGAGGAUUAAUGGGUAGAUGUUUAAUUGAAGUUUAAAAGUUAAUUUGGUGAAGAUUUGCGAAUUAGGGUUUAUGUUCUUCCGCAAAACAGAAAUUAGGUCUUCGGUGGAAUUGAUUCAGCGUAUUAGCGAUUCAAGGUAUGCUAAAGUUUGGGGAAGCUUCUAAUUAUUCUAAUUUCAAGAUUUUUUAUUGGAUUGUUUAAAUUGUUGAGAUUAAGUUAUUUGAUAAUGGAACUGUAAUUGUAGUUAGAAGUGAUGUUGAUAGAAGAUGAAUUGUUGAGGUUGAAGUAUAGUUGGGAUUGGGUCUGUGGUUGCUAUCUUUGUUAGAGGUGAAGGUUGAGUUGAUUAUAUUGAAGUAAUAAGUGUUUAACGGAUGAAUUGAGGUAGUAAUGGUGAGGUUGUUGCUGCUGUGAUGCUGUAAAUGCAAGAAGGAAACUUGGAUUGGUGUUGAGCUGGUAGAUGAGUAGCAAAUUAGAGUUGUUUUGAUAUACAGGAAGAGUAUGUUACCUGAGUUGGGAUUUAGCUGAAAUGUAAUGGUUGUGUUAUGAGUUGAACACAGAACCUGUUGGACGGAUUUAAGAUACUUAGUGGUGGUUCCGUAGUUGGGUUGAUAUUGCAAUUGUGUUGAUGGGAGAAAAGAAUAAAUGGAUGAUGGGAUAUCAGUAGUGAAUGAUUGUUGUAGAAUGUUGGUGAAAAGGUUGGUGUUGUUGCAGGUUCCUAAGAAGAUAAUCUGAUUGAGUAUUUGUGAUUGGUAAUUGUGUUAAGGCUGGAUGUUGGAUAUUGAACGAAGGUUGGUUAUUGUUUUGAAUUACACAGGAUUAUAUUGGCUGGUGGAUCUGUAUAUUGCUUUAUUGCUGAAGUAAAUGGGGUAUUGAGUUGUGUUACAGGUAUGCGAAUGGUGGUGUUGUUGUGUUAAGGUGCAGGGUAUGAUUGAACUUCUAGAGGGUGGCUGGUUUAAGUGGUGUUAUGGAUGUUGACUAGAUUGCAGCUGAAAUUUAAAGGGGAAAACUGAUAAUAAUGGAUUGAGAUUCAUCUGUGGAUGAGUUGAAGUUUAUAUAAAUCAUUGUAAUUGAUAGUCUGACUACAGUCCAGGGAGAUUUUAUAACCUGAGACGAUGAUGCUGUGACAGUAAAGUCACAAUUCUUGUGACUUAAAGAAGUUGAGCUGAUCAUAGUUUGGUUUAGAGCUGCAAUCGCAGUUAGUCUGUAUUAACAACGAUCGAUUCAAAGGAUGAACCAGUGGAUCGUGGAUUUCGAGUUAGGCAUGGCUUGUUAUCAAAAGAGGUGGGAAUUUAUAUUUAACCCUAUUGUGAUUGUUGUCGUUUUCCUUUACAAAAGCUUAUGUUUAACAAAUUCAUGCAUUGUAUGGUUGUGCUUUCCAUGCAUUUGUUUAACUUUGAAUUACGAAAGUUCUGUUAUUUCUUUUAAU